ACUGAACGCUGGCGGCAGGCUUAACACAUGCAAGUCGAGCGGGGGAAGGUAGCUUGCUACCGGACCUAGCGGCGGACGGGUGAGUAAUGCUUAGGAAUCUGCCUAUUAGUGGGGGACAACAUCUCGAAAGGGAUGCUAAUACCGCAUACGUCCUACGGGAGAAAGCAGGGGAUCUUCGGACCUUGCGCUAAUAGAUGAGCCUAAGUCGGAUUAGCUAGUUGGUGGGGUAAAGGCCUACCAAGGCGACGAUCUGUAGCGGGUCUGAGAGGAUGGUCCGCCACACUGGGACUGAGACACGGCCCAGACUCCUACGGGAGGCAGCAGUGGGGAAUAUUGGAUAAUGGGGGGAACCCUGAUCCAGCCAUGCCGCGUGUGUGAAGAAGGCCUUAUGGUUGUAAAGCACUUUAAGCGAGGAGGAGGCUACUCUAGUUAAUACCUAGGGAUAGUGGACGUUACUCGCAGAAUAAGCACCGGCUAACUCUGUGCCAGCCGCCGCGGUAA
rnacentral:rRNA from 1 species